AAAGAAAAGUAGAAACUGCGCAAGAUAGCAAAGAAAGAUGAAACAAUGGGAAUGGUGGAGCAGCCCCAUUUCUCUCUACCCUCUUAGGACUCAAAAUCCCUGGACUUCACAUAACAAAGAAGCAUAGGAAGAUGCUGAAUGGUGAAGAGAAGACUGUGGCCACUCUAGAAUGACAAGGGGGUCAGUUCCCUCAGUUUCCUUACUAUCUCCCACGUGUCCCGUACAAGGCACUGCGGAAGCCUGCAUCCCUGAACCACCAGUAGUCACAGACAGCAAAACUCUGAGAAGAGCCUGUUCCGCAUAGCCAGAGGACAGGGGAAGGGAGGGUGGUCUAACAAAACAGACCUUUUGUCGGUACUCACUCUGCUCCAGCUAAACCAAGGAAACUGCCCUCCUCCCUUCCGAGGCUUCGAGAGCAGGCAGCAUGCUUCGGUUCCCCACCCAGAGGCUGGAGGUGUGCCUGAGAAGAGAGUUAAUCUUUCAUUUCCUGCGUGGCAGAAGCAGGUGGCACUUCAGUUCCCCUGCCAGGUGGUGCUGACAGCGCCUCAUGGGGAGCCGAUCUUCCACCCUCUGCCUGGUAGGAGCAGGUGGUGCUCUGACUUCUCUGCCAGGGUAGUGUCAGCAAGGCCCAGCUUAGGGCCGUUUCCAGCCCCCACCAGCCAUGAUGAGGUGGUGCUAGCAGGAGGCUAAUUACCAUUACACUUGACCCCUUCCAUCGCCAUCAUCCCCUGGUGGGGAGGUGAGCCUCCACACCUACUGGUGGCAAAUGAGGUAUGGAGGAGUGGAGCUAACUGACACUCCCCACCUCCCUACCCCUCCUCUGGUAUAAGUAGGGCCCAUGGGGGUGCUGAACUUCUGCUCCCGGAUGCAGCAACAAACUGGUGUGGCUUAGCCCUUGGCUUUCCCUUCCCUUGUGGUAGCUUGGCCCAGAGGGUAGCUGAUCUUACACAGAGGCAACAGAAAUGGUGAGUUGGAGCCACACUUUGGCUGGGAAGGUGUCAAUGAGCUGAACUCCCACCCCAUCUGUCUGCAACAAGGCAAUGUGAGUCAUCACCUGACUUUUGUCAGGGUGAUGGGGAAUGGGGGGCUAGCGGGUAGCUGAACAUGCAUGCCCACGCAUCCCUGGUAUUAAUACCUUUGUAGCAGGGAAGCUGCCCACUAAAAGAUUAAAUUGGAUCUAGGGUCUCUUAAUAUCAGAAACAUACAGGAUACAAUUCAUACAAAUUUAUACAAUUCCUGCAAAUCACUCAUACCAAGAUCCAGGAAUAUCACCUAUGAAUGAGAAAGGACCAUCAGCAGGUGCUACCUGAUUUAUCUGACAAGGAUUUGAAAGCUGCUAUGAUAAAAAUGUUUCAACAAGUUAUUACAAAUUAUUUUGAAACAAAACGUUAGAAAAUAUCAGCCAAGAAAUCAAAAUUAUUUAUUAAAA
rnacentral:lncRNA from 1 species